AAAAUCAUUCCUUCAGUGUUUUUAAAAAAAACUGCAGAGAAAAAGAAUAGUUCCCUUAUCCCCUUUUCUCCCUUGGCCGAACGGGCCACCAUAGGCCCCACCAUGCACGGUGGUCGGAGGCACCGAACGGUCGCCUUUAUACCCUGUUUCAGGGGUCAACUAAAGGCCGACCCUUCAUGGCCUUAGGACCGCGGAGUAAGACCCCAAACGCCACCUUCCUAGCCCGACUUCGGUGACCCGAAGAAGGACUCCGGCGACGGAGUAAAUGGAGCGAUUCAAGUAAUUGAUGGGAGUAGUUGGUGGCAGAGAGCUGGUGGCGUCGGUGGCAGAAGCUAGAGCAGCGGCAGACGUUAGGAGCCCCUAGGGACGUGCGGCGCCUUAGCUAGGGUUUCAGAAAAGCUGAAACCCUAGUUUGACUUUUGUUGGGCCUUACUGUAAUGGGCUUGUUUGGAUUUGGGCUUUGUUUUAUUUGGGUUUGGCAUUUGGGCUUGUAAUGGGGCUGUUUGGGUAGAUUUAGUUUGGGUUUAAUUAAUUUGAUUUUUGGGUCUCUGCUUGUUGGGCCCGGGCAUAAAUUGGGCUGUACAGCUUCUAUCAAACUGAUGACUUAGGUAUCUAUUUGGGACUGCCUCUUUUCCAUCGACGUAUAACGACAAAUACUUUUAAGUUCAUGGUAGAUAAGGUAAGACAGAAAUUGGAUAAUUGGAAUGCUAAGAUGCUUUCUAUGGCGGGACGAGUGACACUAGCUCAGUCAGUUUUGUUGUCCAUCCCUAACUACUUCAUGCAAACCGUGAAAUUCCAUCUAACAUUUGUAAUGAAAUAGAGAGGAUUGCUUAGAGAUUUAUAUGGGGGAGUUCUGAAGCUACUAAGAAACCAUCGUUGGUAGGUGGGGGGAUAUUUGUCAGCCUUUGCCUAAUGGAGGACUUGGUAUCCAUUGCCUCAAGGAACAAAAUCAAUUAUUUAUGUUAAAGUUGGGAUUUAACCUCCUAGCUGAUGAUUAAGCGCUAUGGGUAAGAGUUCUCCGAUCGAAGUAUAAAAUUUUGGAAGUUUGCCCCUGGGAAAUUUCCAAAAGCAAUUGUUCUUUCAUGUGGAGAUCUCUUUCCAAGGUUUGGCCCCUUCUGCGUCAAAGUAUUCUUUGGUCAAUUAGUGAUGAGAAACUUAUCAAAUUCUGGAUUGAUAAUUGGAUAGCAGAGUAGGUCCUCUCAUUAACCAUUGCUUGGCUCCUUCUUUGAUUCAUGAAUACAUCACUUUUUGCAAGGUUGUGAAUAUGGAAGGCCCUAAUGGAAUUAUAUUGAGCUGGACUUCUGUUGGAAAUUUUAGUAUCAAAGAAGCCUAUAAUAUGCUUACAAAAAAUUCGUUAAACCUGCUGGAAGCAAAAUGGAAGCUAGCUUGGCUUCAAAUGUCCCGCGACGUAUUCAUAAGUUUAUCUGGGUGGUGUUUAAGGAUUGUCUCCUUACUAAUAAGGAAUGGUGUAGGAGAGGCUUCGCUGAUGAUCCUUCGUUGAAGCUAUGCCAAAGUGUUGAAGAAAUUUGUCUUCACGUGUUGCAAGAUUGUAGCCAAGCUAAAGAAGUGUGGAAGCAGUUAAUCCCCAAGAGGAUUUCAAACCAGUUUUUUUCUUCCUUGCUGGAGGUAUAGUUAUCUACCAACUUGAAAAAAAUACUUUUGAUGUUAAUUUUCAUGAUGUAGAUUGGUCCCCUCUUUUUGGCAUAGUUUGUUGGAGGAUUUGGAAACAACGGAACUUAUAUGUGUUCCAAGAUAUCCAUUUUAACAUAUUUAGUGUGAUCAACUCUUCGUAGGGGUGGGCAAAGUCCAUCAAGCAGGGACAGGCUCCUAUAAGAGGAAUAGGGUGAAUUGAAGUAGGGAUCAGAUGUGGGCUCCUCCGCCUAUGGGUUUCUUUAAACUAAACACUAGAUAAUGCCCGUAAUCCGAAUUUGGGGCUUACUUGUUCGGCAGUAGUAGCACGGAAUGAGUAAGGCAGAUGGAUGUGGGGAUUAGGAAGAAAUAUUGGAAGAUGCAGUGUACUUUGAGAUGAACUUUGGGCCAUCUAUGACAGCCUCGAAUUAGUUUGGGAGGCUCAAUGGAUGAACAUUAUUAUUGAAAUAGUCUGUGCCUUGGCUAUCAAAGGUAUCCAUGGAUAUCAUAAAGGACAUUCGAAUAGAGAUUUGAUUUUGUGUAUCCAAGAAUUGUGUAAGUGGAGAGUGCUCAUAAAACAAGUACCUAGAAACGUGAAUUAUGCUGCUGAUAUCUUGGCUAAUUUGAUGAAAGAUUAUCCUUUUGGCGAUCGAAUCUUUCAUGUGGCUUCUCCUUCGGUUGAUGACCAAAUUUGCUUUGGUAGAUGUGUUCGGUUUUCCAAUCCGAAUUCUACUUAUAGUUUGUAAUUGAUAUUGUUUUAUUGUUAAAAAAAAGAAAAAGAAAAAGGUUUGAGCAAUAAAAUUAAGGAAUUGAAAAUUGAUUCCA